rnacentral:rRNA from 1 species
CAGCCGCCGCGGGAAAACGUAGGGUGCAAGCGUUAAUCGGAAUUACUGGGCGUAAAGCGUGCGCAGGCGGUUUGUUAAGACAGAUGUGAAAUCCCCGGGCUUAACCUGGGAACUGCAUUUGUGACUGGCGAGCUAGAGUAUGGCAGAGGGGGGUAGAAUUCCACGUGUAGCAGUGAAAUGCGUAGAGAUGCGGAGGAAUACCGAUGGCGAAGGCAGCCCCCUGGGCCAAUACUGACGCUCAUGCACGAAAGCGUGGGGAGCAAACAGGAUUAGAUACCCCUGUAGUCCCUGUCUCUUAUAC